CAAGUUUUCAAAUAUAAAUACAUUGGAAGUAUAAAAAACACGGUCCUCUUUGCUAUUUUACUGGCAAUUCAUUUCACAAUUCAAGAAAGUUUGAGAAAUGCAUAUUGCUACUUUUCCUCGUCUUGAGUGAAGGAUAUUGUCAAUACAGCAAGAGUUAUACUAUAGCUGGACGUUCUUGGUGCUGAAACAUGGAAGGUUUUAUUGUUGGAGGAGUGGUAGGAGGAACGAUAUGUAUAUUCGUGAUAAUAUCCAUUGUAUUGUGCUGUUUGGAAUCGGAGGAACGCCAAAACCGAAUCAGACAGAUAAAUAUAGAACCAGCAAACGAUAUCUUUAUUAGAAUACACCAAACCUCCUCCCAUACAUCCACGUAUCCUCCACGAGGACCACCACCGGCGUACCCGGGAAGAUAGCAUAAAAUAAAGGCAAUAACAAUGCUACAAAAUAUGAAAAUGAGAACAAACCAGUAGCAAGCAAAGUUAAGUCAGGCGUAAACUGCAGAAAAGUACACUCAAUAACAGGUCAUGAACAAAACUUUUGGAGGACAACACUGAAGCAUUAAUCAGGGGAACUUGGCAAACAUAUUAUAUAUUUUCCGGGUCUAUGAAUCCAUCUGUUGAAAACCGACCGGAUGACUUGCAUUAUUUGUGUUCUAGAUGUUAUGAUU